UUAGAUGAAUAGCAUACAUUACAACAUUGUCAUUUUCCACAUGUAAAGUGCAUAUGCAUUGAAGGUGUGUCACAAUCGCUAAAUGUAAACCGAACAGUAGACAUUGUCAUUUGCAAAGACAGGUGUCUGGCACUACCGUGCCUAGGAAAACAGGGUAGGAGUGACCGAUAACUAAUGGUACACAACCUUAGCUAGCUAUAAAAACAUAUUGGCUAACUGUGGGACGGAACAAUUAACUUACUUAGUUAGCUGUGCACUAGCUGUUCUUUGCUAGAAACUAAGGCUGUAUCCAAAGGAGUAAAUUGCAUGUGGGUGCAUUGACCUCUCUGUGGUUCUUGGUGGUGCAGCUGGUGUCUCCACAUGGAAUAGGAGGAAGGAAUGAGGAGAACACACAACAGACACAAAUAACCCUGCCUCUGCCAUCCACCUGCCGCCUCUAGAACACAUCUCCACCUCCCUGAUACCAGAUACUUCCUGCUCAGAAAUGCCAUGCAACUGAAAGGGCCUUUUUAUUUUUCACUGGGAAACAGGAUGAAGAGUCAAGAACAACAUUCCAGACCAGAAAACAAGUGGCUUUAAGAUGACAGGCCAUCGGGUUAACGGGUGUCGGGCGAAAGAAAACAGUGAUUUAUUGUUUUCUCCAGACAACUGUUCAGCUCGGUUGAAUAGGCUUCAUGAUCAACUGUGCCAAUGUGAAAACUGUGAGGCCGCUGGAGUCUGAGCAGGAAGUCUCCAGAUGGUUUAGCACUUGUCAGAGCGACCCUGUGACCCCAGAUGCUGUCCAGAUACGGGUCAGUGACGGGGUGCAGGCCUCUGUCCGACUGAUUUACGGCCCAUCGUUAAAACCCUCAUUGGAAAGGAGAGGGCCGAACUCUAUACCCCACCUUGCAGAAUGAGCCGAAUGGGCAUGAAAUCACAGAAAGAUUGAAUUCUGGAGUUUAAGAUUUUAUUUUCGGAGUUCCGAAAUUCAGUCUUUUCUUCUGAGGUUGUGCUUGGUCUGUUUUUUAUGAUGUCACCAGUGGUAAACUCAACACAUUAUCCCGAGACAAGUAAUGUCCCGAGGGAUUCUAACUCAAUGUUGAAGGGCAGAGUUUCCAAAAGCUUCCAAAGAGAACAAGAAAACAUUGAUAUGAGUGUGAACAGCAAUUGCCAUGUACUAGCACAGCUCCUGGAAACAACUCAGUACAAACCAUUGACUAGUGGAGAUGGGAUUGACUUUAUGCAGACAUAAAACAUGUGUCACCUUUAUCCUGCAAAGUAUAACCAAAGCAGACUAUAUCCAGUUAUUGUUUAUCCAUCCAGACAUACUGCCGACUCUCCCAAUGAAAACACUCCACUGUGCAGUAAACUGACUAAAUCAAUUGGACUACAUAGCAGAAGUGACCAUUCCGUCUGUCAAGUGAACAAGUGCUGCUGUGUAGAUGCAUAAGGUGCAGUUUCAAGUCGAGUCAGACUCGUUUAAAGACAUGUAACAUAGUUCUGUUUUUCUUUCCUAAUUAACCACCGUGGUUUCAAAAGUCCCCGAGCGGCGAAUAACUGGGCUAAUAGAAAUAAAGUGUGUUUAA